UGCAACCCAGUGCCCAACCGCACACCAGCUGACAGAGGGGGAACAUGAAAGUUUGCAGCCUGGGGCUUUCCUGUAACAGAUUUGGAAUCGGCGUUUUUUUCAGCUUUCCUAGCCAUUCAUGUUCCAGUGAAGUAGUGAUGAAAAAUUGGACUUCUACCAGCUGGUCUUAGGACAUGGUACUCCGAAUCUUAACUUCAGAUGUAUCUCGGUAGCUGGAUCGUCCCUUUUUUUUAUAGACAAGUUGGAAAAGAACAGAGACUAGUCAGGUUUCUUGCAUUUCAGAUACACCUUGUAUGCUGUAUGACGAAGGCAUUGGAUCAAUAUCAGAAAAUAAGCAGCAGUUUCUUGUGGAACGCAACCAACUUCAUUAGUUCAGAGGUCAUCAUAUUCUACUUGUGUUAUUUUCAUCUAUCAUCUCAAGUACUGAAACGGGGACUGCACAAGUACUAAUGAG
rnacentral:misc_RNA from 1 species